AUACGUAGGGUGCGAGCGUUAAUCGGAAUUACUGGGCGUAAAGCGUGCGCAGGCGGUUUUGUAAGACAGGCGUGAAAUCCCCGGGCUCAACCUGGGAACUGCGUUUGUGACUGCAAGGCUAGAGUACGGCAGAGGGGGGUGGAAUUCCACGUGUAGCAGUGAAAUGCGUCGAGAUGUGGAGGAACACCAAUGGCGAAGGCAGCCCCCUGGGUCGAUACUGACGCUCAUGCACGAAAGCGUGGGUAGC
rnacentral:rRNA from 1 species